rnacentral:rRNA from 1 species
UACGUAGGGACCAAGCGUUGUUCGGAUUUACUGGGCGUAAAGGGCGCGUAGGCGGCAAUUCAAGUCAUCUGUGAAAUCUCCGGGCUUAACUCGGAACGGUCAGAUGAUACUGCUUUGCUAGAGUGCGGAAGGGGCAAUCGGAAUUCUUGGUGUAGCGGUGAAAUGCGUAGAUAUCAAGAGGAACACCAGUGGCGAAGGCGGUGCUCUGGGCCGGUACUGACGCUGAGGAGCGAAAGCGUGGGUAGCAAACAGG